CCUACGGGAGGCAGCAGUGGGGAAUAUUGGACAAUGGGCGAAAGCCUGAUCCAGCCAUGCCGCGUGUGUGAAGAAGGCCUUCGGGUUGUAAAGCACUUUCAGUGGGGAAGAAAGCCUUGGGGCUAAUACCCUCGAGGAAGGACAUCACCCACAGAAGAAGCACCGGCUAACUCCGUGCCAGCAGCCGCGGUAAUACGGAGGGUGCGAGCGUUAAUCGGAAUUACUGGGCGUAAAGCGCGCGUAGGCGGUCUGAUAAGCCGGUUGUGAAAGCCCCGGGCUCAACCUGGGAACGGCAUCCGGAACUGUCAGGCUAGAGUGCAGGAGAGGAAGGUAGAAUUCCCGGUGUAGCGGUGAAAUGCGUAGAGAUCGGGAGGAAUACCAGUGGCGAAGGCGGCCUACUGGACUGACACUGACGCUGAGGUGCGAAAGCGUGGGUAGCAAACAGGAUUAGAUACCCCGGUAGUC
rnacentral:rRNA from 1 species